UAACACAAAAUCUUCAGCUGGGGAUUCCCAGCAAGGUUGGGCUUGAGGCUGAAGAUCUUGCAACCCUGGAUAUAUUUGCAUGGUUUCUCUUCCUGUGUGAAUUCAUUGAUAUGAAAGAUGGGCAAUAAUGUGUGAACUCCAAGCAUUUAUAUAUUUUCUUCCCCAUGUGGAUUCCUUGAUGGGCAGUAAGGUCUGAACUUCAAGCCAAGUUCUUUUCAUACUUCAAGCAUGUCUAUGGUUUUCCCCAGGGGUCAUUUUGUAGAAAAAAAGGUGGUGGAGCUCAUCCAGGGAUUGUUAUGCAGCUGCACCUACUAGUCAGUGGACAAGGUGGGAAGGAGGAGGUGGAACUGUCAGAAAGGUUCAGGGGCUGCGCUCCUGUGAGCUCCCACUAAAUCCAAGGCCUGGUUUCCCUCCAUGUGGAUUCGUUGAUGUCUAGUGACAUAUGAAAUCUGACCAAAGGUCUUUCCACACUGCAAACAUUUAUGUGGUUUCUCCCUGGUGUGGGUAUGUUGAUGGGAUUUAAGAUGACAACUCUGAGUAAAGCUCUUUCCACACUCCAAGCAUUUAUAUGGUUUCUCCCCAGUGUGGAAACAUUGAUGGGUAGUAAGGUGUGAACUCUGAGCAAAGCUCUUUCCACACUCCAAGCAUUCAUAUGGUUUUUCCCCGGUGUGGAUACGUUGAUGGGUAGUAAGUUGUGAACUAUGAGCAAAGUUCUUUCCACACUCCAAGCAUUCAUACAGUUUUUCCCCUGUGUGGAUACGUUGAUGGGAUUUAAGG